CAGGGUUCUUCCCAGUUGAGCCACUUUCCACACGUGCUAGCUGCCUAAACUUUAAUUGGAGCGUCCUCAGUUUUAAAAUGAGGUUUAUGUCUGCUGUCCUGUCCCACUUAAAAAGAUUGGCUAGCGCUAUACAUGUAUCCCCCCGCUGUUGAAAGUUUGCUUUCCACCACUUGGCUUUUACGAAAGAUCUACAAUAGUACCUGUUUUCGCUAACCGAGAGAAAUCCGAAGAGAAUUGUUACAAAAAGGAAAUAGCGUUCAACAUCUGUUUUGCAGCAAGCUAUUUAACCGGCAGCGCUCACCUGGAGCAGUGGGAGUGUCACCGCCAAGCUCCUUCCCUGAGAGCUUCUACUUUAUUCCAAGAUACUUCUUAGAGGAAGAACAGUCUGGUGAAGAUGUACUUGACUUUGAUAAAUGUCAUCUUGCUAUCCUUACAAGACAAUUUCUGAGAGCACCUCUGGCCAUCCAAAUCAAUCGUCUAGGCUCAGUAGUAAAAGGAUGUCCUCCCGGCGAGCCUGCCCUUCUGCUCUCCAACCUGCAUCUCCAUUUCCAGAAAGAAACUACUUUGACUCCCAGAGAUGUUUCCCCUUCAUCCUUUCCAUCCUGAGGAAUGGAGUUCCUGCAAUGAAUCCAGGGCAGACACUUCCCAGAACCACUUACUGGAAAUUAUCAAAGGCAAAUAUUGCAGUGCUGCCGCUUCUUCUCACCCACUUCCCUGGAAGAUCCCACGACGGUGCCUCCCUGAAACCAG